rnacentral:rRNA from 1 species
UACGUAGGGGGCAAGCGUUGUCCGGAUUUAUUGGGCGUAAAGAGCUCGUAGGCGGCCGGUUGCGUCUGCUGUGAAAUCCCGGGGCUUAACCCCGGGCGUGCAGUGGAUACGGGCCGGCUGGAGGCAGGCAGGGGAGAAUGGAAUUCCCGGUGUAGAGGUGAAAUUCGUAGAUAUUGGGAAGAACACCGGUGGCGAAGGCGGCGACCUGGUCCGAUACUGACGCUGAGGCGCGAAAGCGUGGGGAGCAAACAGG